UCUUGGCCAUGGCUACCUUGGCAUUUGCCAUGGAUCCAUAGGUCUGUAAAAAAAUUUAGUGUUAUUUUAAAAACCCAUUUUAAUCUGUUAAUUUAUGAUAAAGGCCCAAAAAUUAAUUAAACCUAAUUAGUUAACCUAAUUUAUAAAACAACAAAAAGUCUGUACUCUCACCUUUAAAAUUUUCCCGUUGACAAAAGAAAAAAAAAACUCUAGAACCGAAGCGGUGACCAUUAGGCGUUAACAACACAAAUCACAAACCAAAAAUCAUAUUCUAUUCAUCGAUCUGUUAGUGGAAUCCCUUUCCAUAGAGGUAUGUUUAAUCAAUUAUAUUUGUGUCUUAGUUUAUUGUUUCAGAUUUUUAUUUUAUUACUAUUUCUAAACCCAAACUUUUAUGCAGUUCUAAAAUUUUCUUUGGUGGGUCUCGUUAAAUGUUUGGGCACAUCAAAUCCAGGUGACUUUGUUCUUUUAUUUUAAAAAGAGAUGGUGUGUGGAAAUGAUCAGAGAAAAAAAAAACAUGAUGAACAAUUCGUAGAAUCCCAAAGAGGAGCUUUAGAUAAACUUAUUAAGAAAAAAAACACAAAUAGUGAGAGUUUUAGAGCAUAAACUAAUGUUGAAUCUCAUGAAAAAGAGUCAAAUCCCUCUAUUGAGAAUAUUGACACUGAUGAGCCACCAAUUCUUCCUUUUGAUAUCUAUGAUCCUAGAAAUUGGAAUAAUCUUGAUAGUAAAACAAAAGAUUUGUUGAUUAAAAAAAACCAAAAAGAGACAUGAAUCUUGAAUUUCCUAUUGAUGAAAAAACAAAAAGACAUUUUGCAUAUAGGCAUUAUUUUAGAAAGUUGUGUAAUGGGAAGACAGUUGAUAGAAAAUGGUUAAUUUACUCAAAACAUGUUGAUAAAGUUUAUUGUUUCCGUUGCAAGUUGUUUAAAUCUCAUGGAAAAAUAAAUUUAUUAGCAAAUGAAGGAUUAAGAGAUUGGAAACGUAUUGGUGAUAGACUAAAAGGUCAUGGAAAAAAGUGAGGAGCAUAUGGCUAAUAUGAGAACUUGGAAUGAAUUCAAAGUUAGAUUGCAAAGUAAUUUGACUAUCGAUAAAGAAUUUCAGUAAGAGAUUGCAAAAGAAAAAGAACGUUGGAGACAAGUUUUAUAUAGAAUAAUUGCUGUUGUGAAAUGUCUUCCAAAAAGAAAUUUAGCAUUUCGAGGAUCAAAUGGGAAACUUUAUCAAGAUAGUAAUGGUAAUUUUCUAGGAAUGAUUGAGAUGUUUGCUGAAUUUGAUGUGAUUAUACAGGAUCAUAUAAGACACAUCCAAACUCAUGAGGUACAUCACCACUAUCUUGGUCAUAACAUUCAAAACGAGCUAAUUUCUCUUCUCGCAUAUAAGGUCAGAUUUUUUAUCACAAGUGUUAUUAAAGAAGCAAAAUAUUUUUCUGUUAUCCUUGAUUGUACACCAGACGUGAGUCAUCAAGAGCAAAUGAGUAUAAUUGUACGAUGUGUGAAUACGUCAAAUAAAAAUAUUAGAAUAGAAGAGUAUUUCUUAGAGUUUCUUAAGGUGGAUAAUACAUCGGGACUAGGCCUCUUUAAUGAAUUACAAAGUGCUCUUAAGUCCCUUGAUCUUGAUAUUAAAAAUGUAAAGGGACAAGGUUAUGAUAAUGGUUCUAAUAUGAAAGGAAAACACCAAGGAGUUCAAAAACAAUUACACCGAUUCAGGUUCUUGAGUUGGUAAAAUAUAUGGGUUGUUAUCCAAAUGUUGAUAUUGCUUACCGGAUUUUACUAACAACACAUGUAAUAGUUGCAUCAGCUGAAAGAAGUUUUUCUAAGCUAAAAUUGUUAAAAAAUUAGAUCAUCAAUGUCUCAAGAAAGGUUGAACGGUUUAUCUAUUUUAUGCAUUGAAAAAGAAAUUUUGGAGAGUAUGAAUUUUGAAUUAAUUAUCAAUGAUUUUGCAUCAACUAAAGCUAGUAAAAAACAUUUCAUGUGAUUGUUUUUUCAUCUUUUAAAGAAUUGAUUCUUUUUUUUUCAGGUC